rnacentral:rRNA from 1 species
AUACGGAGGAUCCGAGCGUUAUCCGGAUUUAUUGGGUUUAAAGGGAGCGUAGGCGGAUUGUUACGUCAGUUGUGAAAGUUUGCGGCUCAACCGUAAAAUUGCAGUUGAAACUGGCAAUCUUGAGUACAGUAGAGGUGGGCGGAAUUCGUGGUGUAGCGGUGAAAUGCUUAGAUAUCACGAUGAACUCCGAUUGCGAAGGCAGCUCACUAGACUGUUACUGACACUGAUGCUCGAAAGUGUGGGUAUCAAACAGGAUUAGAUACCCUGGUAGUCCACACAGUAAACGAUGAAUACUCGCUGUUUGCGAUAUACAGUAAGCGGCCAAGCGAAAGCAUUAAGUAUUCCACCUGGGGAGUACGCCGGCAACGGUGAAACUCAAAUGAAUUGACGGGG